CCUACGGGAGGCAGCAGUGAGGGAUAUUGGUCAAUGGGGGAAACCCUGAACCAGCAACGCCGCGUGAGGGAAGACGGUUUGCGGAGUGUAAACCUCUGUCCUCGGUGAAGAGAAUGACGGUAGCAGAGGAGGAAGCUCCGGCUAACGACGUGCCAGCAGCCGCGGUAAUACGUAGGGAGCAAGCGUUGUCCGGAUUUACUGGGGGUAAAGGGGGCGUAGGCGGCCUUGCAAGUCAGAAGUGAAAUCCAUGGGCUUAACCCGUGAACUGCUUUUGAAACUGUAGGGCUUGAGUGAAGUAGAGGCAGGCGGAAUUCCCGUUGUAGCGGUGAACUGCGUAGAGUUCGGGAGGAACACCAGUGGCGCAGGCGGCCUGCUGGGCUUUAACUGCCGCUGACGCACGACAGCGUGGGUAGCACACAGGAUUCGAUACCCCAGUCGUC
rnacentral:rRNA from 1 species